rnacentral:rRNA from 1 species
GGUGGAUCAGUGGCGAACGGGUGAGUAACACGUGAGCAACCUGCCCUGAACUCUGGGAUAAGCGCUGGAAACGGUGUCUAAUACUGGAUAUGAGCUGCGGAGGCAUCUUCGUGGUUGGAAAGAUUUUUCGGUUUGGGAUGGGCUCGCGGCCUAUCAGCUUGUUGGUGAGGUAAUGGCUCACCAAGGCGUCGACGGGUAGCCGGCCUGAGAGGGUGACCGGCCACACUGGGACUGAGACACGGCCCAGACUCCUACGGGAGGCAGCAGUGGGGAAUAUUGCACAAUGGGCGGAAGCCUGAUGCAGCAACGCCGCGUGAGGGAUGACGGCCUUCGGGUUGUAAACCUCUUUUAGCAGGGAAGAAGCGUGAGUGACGGUACCUGCAGAAAAAGCGCCGGCUAACUACGUGCCAGCAGCCGCGGUAAUACGUAGGGCGCAAGCGUUAUCCGGAAUUAUUGGGCGUAAAGAGCUCGUAGGCGGUUUGUCGCGUCUGCUGUGAAAUCUGGGGGCUCAACCCCCAGCCUGCAGUGGGUACGGGCAGACUAGAGUGCGGUAGGGGAGAUUGGAAUUCCUGGUGUAGCGGUGGAAUGCGCAGAUAUCAGGAGGAACACCGAUGGCGAAGGCAGAUCUCUGGGCCGUAACUGACGCUGAGGAGCGAAAGGGUGGGGAGCAAACAGGCUUAGAUACCCUGGUAGUCCACCCCGUAAACGUUGGGAACUAGUUGUGGGGUCCAUUCCACGGAUUCCGUGACGCAGCUAACGCAUUAAGUUCCCCGCCUGGGGAGUACGGCCGCAAGGCUAAAACUCAAAGGAAUUGACGGGGACCCGCACAAGCGGCGGAGCAUGCGGAUUAAUUCGAUGCAACGCGAAGAACCUUACCAAGGCUUGACAUACACGAGAACGCUGCAGAAAUGUAGAACUCUUUGGACACUCGUGAACAGGUGGUGCAUGGUUGUCGUCAGCUCGUGUCGUGAGAUGUUGGGUUAAGUCCCGCAACGAGCGCAACCCUCGUUCUAUGUUGCCAGCACGUAAUGGUGGGGAACUCAUGGGGAUACUGGCCGGGGUCAACUCCGGAGGAAGGUUGGGGAUGACGUCAAAUCAUCAU